UUAUGGUCAAGCUACUAAGGGUGUACGGUGAAUGCCUUGGCGCCAGAAGUCGAUGAAGGACGUGGCAAGCUGCGAAAAGCUUCGGUGAGCUGCAAACGAGCUUCGACCCGAAGAUGUCCGAAUGGGGCAACCCACCUCGAGUCAUGUCGAGGUAUCCCCGGCUGAAUACAUAGGCCGGUGGAAGACAACGCAGGGAAGUGAACCAUCUCAGUACCUGCAGGAAUAGAAAACAAUAGUGAUUCCGCUAGUAGCGGCGAGCGAACGCGGAAGAGCCCAAACCAACGUGCUUGCACGUUGGGGUUGUAGGGCCCGUCAUACGGAGUUACAAAUCAGCAGAGUAAUUGAAAGGCCUGGAACGGCCUGCCAUAGACGGUGACAGCCCGGUAAAUGAAAUUCUGCUGACUCCGACGGGUACCCUGAGUACCGCGGGACACGUGAAAUCCCGUGGGAAUCUACGAGGACCAUCUCGUAAGGCUAAAUACUCUCUGGCGACCGAUAGUGAACCAGUACCGUGAGGGAAAGGUUAAAAGAACCCCUGUGAGGGGAGUGAAAUAGUACCUGAAACCGUACACUUACAAGCAGUGGGAGGGCUAUAACCGGGGCUUGCUCCGGUCAUGCCUGACCGCGUGCCUUUUGCAUAAUGAGCCGGCUAGUUAAUCUCAGUGGCAAGGUUAAGCGAAAGCGAGCCGCAGCGAAAGCGAGUCCGAAAUGGGCGACAAGUCGCUGGGAUUAGACGCGAAGCGAGGUGAUCUACCCUUGGCCAGGGUGAAGUACGGGUAACACCGUAUGGAGGCCCGAACCAGUGUUGGUUGAAAACAGCUUGGAUGAGCUGAGGGUAGGGGUGAAAGGCUAAUCAAACCUCGUGAUUGCCCGUUCUCCUCGAAAUAUCUUUAGGGAUAGCCUCGAGAGGUCGGCGUUGGUGGUAGAGAACUGAAUGGACUAGGGGGCUUACCAGCUUACUGAAUCCAAUCAAACUGCGAAUGCCAACGACACGUAUCUCGGGAGUCAGACAGUGGGGGCUAAGCUUCAUUGUCGAGAGGGAAACAGCCCAGACUACCGGCUAAGGUCCCUAACUCUGUACUAAGUGGUAAAGGAUCUGGAGACGCUCAGACAACCAGGAGGUUGGCUUAGAAGCAGCCAUCCUUUAAAGAAAGCGUAAUAGCUCACUGGUCAAGCGGCUCUGGGCCGACAAUAUAACGGGGCUCAAGUACAGGACCGAAGCCGUAGAAUAGACGAGACCCUGCGGGGUCUCAUAUUGGUAGAGGAGCGUUCUCGUCGCAGCGAAGUCAGACCGUAAGGACUGGUGGAGCGGCGAGAAGUGACCCUGCCGGCAUAAGUAGCGAUAAGGGAAGUGAGAAUCUUCCCCGCCGUAAGCCUAAGGUUUCCUGAGGAAGGUUCGUCCGCUCAGGGUCAGUCGGGUCCUAACGCGAGGCCGAAAGGCGUAGCGGAUGGAUAUCCGGUCAAUAUUCC
rnacentral:rRNA from 1 species